rnacentral:rRNA from 1 species
AUGGCCGAAUGCUUCAAUAGGGUGCUCAAAGGUGCACGUGGAUUACCCGUGACGGCAAUAGUUCAAUACACAUUUGACAAGAUGAAUGCGUACUUUGUAAAGUACUCGAUGGAAACCGAUGCACAGAUAACGGGUGAGAACCCACGGAAGUACAAGUACAAGUUCCCACCCAAAGUUGAUGAAUGGUUGGUAUUUCAAUCACGGAAGGCGGACUCAGAAGAAGCUAUAUUAUAUGACAACGAAGAGUGGAAGUACGAAGUGAAAGAGCCAGGAGGAACCACAAACGAUGGCCGGCAACAUGGAGGUCGGGAUUUCAAGGUGUCGUUAACACAAUGUGAUUGCACUUGCGGGAGGCCAUUGUUGCUUCAUCUCCCAUGCUCACAUUUGUAUGCCGCCGGUCGCGUUAGGAAUGUGGACAUCAAUCACCCAUGCACCGUGAGGGAGUCGGAGUUCUCAAUCAUGACGGUCAAGAAAACAUGGGCUCCCCGAUUUCAAGCUAGGCGCUGCACAGGUCUGUAG